rnacentral:lncRNA from 1 species
UUAGAUUACCUCAUCCUAUCCACAACAAUGGCGAUAACCCCGGCCAAAAGCAGCCAAUCCGUAUCCGUCAGUCAAACCACUCCGAAUGUGCUCUGUUCAUGGGUUCAUGGGUCCAUGACGAAUCCUACCCGAUCUACAAAGCCUCUUCCUGCCCGAUUAUCGAUCCAGAGUUCAAUUGCCAAAUGUAUGGCCGACCCGACUCCGAUUACCUCAAGUAUCGAUGGAAACCUGCCAAUUGUGAACUCCCGAGGUCAGUUUCGAAUGUGAAUUUCUACUUGAUUGUAGCUGUUGUAAACAUUAACGAUUUGUAUCGUUUGUGAUUUGAGCAGGUUUAACGGACUCGAAUUUCUGAUGAACAUGAAAGGGAAGAAGGUGAUGUUCGUCGGAGACUCACUUGGGCGAAACCAAUGGGAGUCAUUGAUUUGUAUGACGUUGUCGGCGGUGCCACAGUCCGCCACCAAGAUGAUUACCGGCGAUCCUCUCUCCACAUUUAAGUUUCUGGUAAAGCAUUUAUCUGAUUUUGACUACUCUGUAAUUGAUCGAUUUGAAUAUGGUGGGUGGAGUGGCGCUUAAUUUGUUUGAUGAAAAUAUGUGAAUUAGGAUUAUGGGGUGGAUGUGGCGUUUUAUCGAGCGCCGUAUCUGGUGGACAUUGACGCCGUGGAUGGGCGGAGGGUGCUUAAAUUGGAAGAAAUCUCGAAGAAUGCACGGGCGUGGAUGUCCGCCGAUGUUCUGUCGUUUAACACCGGUCACUGGUGGAGUCAUAAAGGCUCCCUUCAAGGGUUAGUAAAUAGUAAUUGUUUUUUCAUGUAUUUUUAUAUUUAUCCAACAAUAAAAUAACCAUAAAUAAAUUAUAUAUAUAUAUGAUUUCGUCAUAAGUUGUUACAUGAAAUUAAGUGAUGUUUGGAUAGAAAUAAAAUAACAAAUAAAAUCUAGAAAGGAUAAGCAUUUAAAUUUAAUUGGCAUAUAUUUUGUUAUUCAAAAACGAAAAAGGUCUUUACUCUGUAAAUAAAUAUUGUAGAGUGAUUAUACAAUAUUAAAUAAUCAACACAAAUGUAAUACUAGUACUAUAUAAGCAUAAUUUCAAUGUUUAUGUUGAUUUUUUUUGGUAUUGCAUUUUUGUCAAUCUUGAUUAUUCAAGAAAAAAAAUUGAUAAAGUAAAGAUACUUAAAUAGUUGUAUUAUACCAUAUAUAAUCGUUUUUUUUUGUUUGAAUAUGACUUUUAAAAAAAACAAUUAUUUAUUUUUACAACUUCAAGUUGUAAUAACCAUUUUUAAUGUUUUUGUAGCUCAUAAUAUCAAUAGAAAAAAUAGGGAGCACGAGAUUUGUGUGUACUAAUUUGAGUAAGAGGAUUAGUCAACGAUGGGUUAAGUAAUAUUUAGAUGAAGCUGAAUAAACAAGUAGUGAGCAACAUACAUGUGAUAAACAUAUUUGGUCCAAAAGUCAAAACAAUUACAAAACCGACGCUAUCAUAAUUCAUAACAAUAUUUUAAUAUAACUUAAUUUAUAUAUAACUUAGGACAAGAUAUAAUAUAAAUCUAUCUAUAGGUUAAAAGUCGUACGUCAUAUCUGAAUUCUUGGAUACGCCACUAUGUUAAAUUGAUGAUGAUAAUGAUACAGGUGGGACUUGAUCGAGUCAGGUGGACAUCUUUAUGAGGAUAUGGAUCGUCUUGUCGCAUUGGAUACAGGCUUAAAAACAUGGGCUCGAUGGGUUGAUUCUAAUGUUGAUACAAUUACGACCCGAAUUUUUUUCCAAUCAGUGUCCCCUACCCAUUAUAAGUAAGUCUUUUUAUAUUUAAAUAAACCAAUUUUCUAAAAAAACUAAUUCGGUUCUUAACUAAUUUUGACAAGAAAAAUGUUAACCAAUCUAAUUCGGUUAUCAACGAUUUUUUUUUCCAUGAAAUAAGAUGGGUAAAAUAAAGUUAAAAUUCUAAUAGAAAAAAAAAAGUAAUUAAAAAUUUAGGGUCCAUCAACAUAAAUACAUAAUAGCGGAAUCAAUAGUUUAGCUGUCCUAAUUGGACCCAAUACUAUUGGCCUAGUUCCUAGCCACAAAUUUCUAUUUAUAUACUUGCCCACUCUAUGUUGCCGAUAAUAAUUUUUUAUAAUAUAAUAAUUCAAAUUAAAUAAUCAAAAGUAAAUUUGUAAAUACAGGGGGAAAAGAUGUCUCACAAGAAAAAAAAAAAUAAUAAAUUCUAUUCACAUGCAAAUUGUGUGGUUGCCUUUCCCUUUGCAUUAAACCUUCCAACACUUUUGUCUAUAUUCUUGUUCUAUAAUAACUCGUCGGUGGUUACCUUUUACAGCCCAUCUGAAUGGAGCGCCGGUGCCACCAGUAUAGGAAAAAGUUGCUACGGCGAAACAAGUCCGAUGAGCGGGUCUACCUACCCAGGCGUCUAUCCUGAUCAAAUGAAAGUUAUUGACACUGUAAUACGUGAAAUGCAAAACCCUGCAUACAUACUUGACAUAACGACUUUGUCAGCAAUGAGAAAAGAUGCACACCCGUCUAUUUAUAGUGGGGACUUUA